rnacentral:rRNA from 1 species
UACGGGGGGGGCAAGCGUUGUUCGGAAUUACUGGGCGUAAAGGGCGCGUAGGCGGCCUUCUAAGUCGGACGUGAAAUCCCUCGGCUCAACCGAGGAACUGCGUCCGAUACUGGAGGGCUUGAAUCCGGGAGAGGGAUGUGGAAUUCCAGGUGUAGCGGUGAAAUGCGUAGAUAUCUGGAGGAACACCGGUGGCGAAGGCGGCAUCCUGGACCGGCAUUGACGCUGAGGCGCGAAAGCGUGGGUAGCAAACAGG